CUCAGACCUCUUCCCCAAGUCAAAGCUUUCUGUGGAAAGGAAGAGGGACUUCCGAAUACUGGAGGCUACACUUUCUGCAAGAUGUUUCCUCCUCAAGAAGGACCAUGGAGAAAACAAGAAAAGCAAGAUGGUGUGAACAGAGUGGGAGAUGGAAGGCAGGAUGGCUAUGGAACUCAGAGUCAACCAGAAACAGCGGUGACCACACAGAUCCCGGGUGACAGCAGGUUCCCCAGUGUGCAGGCUGCUACUGUGCUCAGACUGCAAAAGUGUGUUGGGGCGGUAAAUAAACACCAGCUCUCAGAAGAAUUGUUGGCAAAAGAAAAUCCCACAUCUCUAUAGCAAUUGUCCCAAGGUUUUGGGGACUCCCUGAACCACUCUGGGACCUGAAGGUGGGAGAUGCUGAUCUGGAGAGCGUUCAGACCAGGAGGAGAACGUCUUGCCACCAGGAAUGCUGGCGAAUGAAGUCUGGAUGCACCUGCAGC